CCGGCGGACCCGGGGUGGAGCUUCAGGCGGACCCAGGGGCCAAGCCUCAGGCUCAGAUGGAUAUAGAAAAGGAAAGCCACUGGCAGUGGUGAAAAACUCCUUCAGUGCUUCCUGAGGUCACAUGAUGACAGCCAGUGAGGACAGAGACAGACAAGGAGUCACCAGCUGAAGAGUCACCUCUCUAACACCCAGGCCUAAAAGGGUUAUCUGGACGUCAAUAAAAAUAAUGGCCCGAUCGUGUUUGCAUCAUUAUGGAUGAGAGUCAGCAGGACCUUAAUGGAAGGUUAGCAUCUCCU